ensembl:snoRNA SNORA63 Small nucleolar RNA SNORA63
AGACAUGUUUCUACAAUAUAGCUGUUAAGUGCUAUUUUGUCGUUCCCCUGCUCAAAGUAAAGUUGGUUCUUAUCUAUCCCUGUCUGCUAGUUUCUUGUAGCAACCCAGGGUCUCAUACAU